rnacentral:rRNA from 1 species
GACGAACGCUGGCGGCGUGCCUAAUACAUGCAAGUAGAACGCUGAAGAGAGGAGCUUGCUCUUCUUGGAUGAGUUGCGAACGGGUGAGUAACGCGUAGGUAACCUGCCUUGUAGCGGGGGAUAACUAUUGGAAACGAUAGCUAAUACCGCAUAACAAUGGAUGACACAUGUCAUUUAUUUGAAAGGGGCAAUUGCUCCACUACAAGAUGGACCUGCGUUGUAUUAGCUAGUAGGUGAGGUAACGGCUCACCUAGGCGACGAUACAUAGCCGACCUGAGAGGGUGAUCGGCCACACUGGGACUGAGACACGGCCCAGACUCCUACGGGAGGCAGCAGUAGGGAAUCUUCGGCAAUGGGGGCAACCCUGACCGAGCAACGCCGCGUGAGUGAAGAAGGUUUUCGGAUCGUAAAGCUCUGUUGUAAGUCAAGAGCGAGUGUGAGAGUGGAAAGUUCACACUGUGACGGUAGCUUACCAGAAAGGGACGGCUAACUACGUGCCAGCAGCCGCGGUAAUACGUAGGUCCCGAGCGUUGUCCGGAUUUAUUGGGCGUAAAGCGAGCGCAGGCGGUUUGAUAAGUCUGAAGUUAAAGGCUGUGGCUCAACCAUAGUUCGCUUUGGAAACUGUCAAACUUGAGUGCAGAAGGGGAGAGUGGAAUUCCAUGUGUAGCGGUGAAAUGCGUAGAUAUAUGGAGGAACACCGGUGGCGAAAGCGGCUCUCUGGUCUGUAACUGACGCUGAGGCUCGAAAGCGUGGGGAGCGAACAGGAUUAGAUACCCUGGUAGUCCACGCCGUAAACGAUGAGUGCUAGGUGUUGGAUCCUUUCCGGGAUUCAGUGCCGCAGCUAACGCAUUAAGCACUCCGCCUGGGGAGUACGACCGCAAGGUUGAAACUCAAAGGAAUUGACGGGGGCCCGCACAAGCGGUGGAGCAUGUGGUUUAAUUCGAAGCAACGCGAAGAACCUUACCAGGUCUUGACAUCCCGAUGCUAUUUCUAGAGAUAGAAAGUUACUUCGGUACAUCGGUGACAGGUGGUGCAUGGUUGUCGUCAGCUCGUGUCGUGAGAUGUUGGGUUAAGUCCCGCAACGAGCGCAACCCCUAUUGUUAGUUGCCAUCAUUCAGUUGGGCACUCUAGCGAGACUGCCGGUAAUAAACCGGAGGAAGGUGGGGAUGACGUCAAAUCAUCAUGCCCCUUAUGACCUGGGCUACACACGUGCUACAAUGGUUGGUACAACGAGUUGCGAGUCGGUGACGGCAAGCUAAUCUCUUAAAGCCAAUCUCAGUUCGGAUUGUAGGCUGCAACUCGCCUACAUGAAGUCGGAAUCGCUAGUAAUCGCGGAUCAGCACGCCGCGGUGAAUACGUUCCCGGGCCU